AGCGAACGCUGGCGGCAGGCCUAACACAUGCAAGUCGAACGAACUCUUCGGAGUUAGUGGCGGACGGGUGAGUAACACGUGGGAACGUGCCUUUAGGUUCGGAAUAACUCAGGGAAACUUGUGCUAAUACCGAAUGUGCCCUUCGGGGGAAAGAUUUAUCGCCUUUAGAGCGGCCCGCGUCUGAUUAGCUAGUUGGUGAGGUAAAGGCUCACCAAGGCGACGAUCAGUAGCUGGUCUGAGAGGAUGAUCAGCCACAUUGGGACUGAGACACGGCCCAAACUCCGACGGGAGGCAGCAGUGGGGAAUCUUGCGCAAUGGGCGAAAGCCUGACGCAGCCAUGCCGCGUGAAUGAUGAAGGUCUUAGGAUUGUAAAAUUCUUUCACCGGGGACGAUAAUGACGGGACCCGGAGAAGAAGCCCCGGCUAACUUCGU
rnacentral:rRNA from 1 species